ACGCCUGUAUGAAGAUGGAGUUGCUAGUAAUCGCGAAUCAGAAUGUCGCGGUGAAUACGUUCCCGGGUCUUGUACACACCGCCCGUCACACCAUGAGAGUUGGCAACACCCGAAACCUGUGGGCUAACCGAAAGGAGGCAGCAGUCUAAGGUGGGGUCAGUGAUUGGGGUGAAGUCGUAACAAGGUACC
rnacentral:rRNA from 1 species